rnacentral:tRNA from 1 species
UACGAACGUGGCGGAAUUGGCAGACGCGCUAGAUUUAGGUUCUAGUAAGAUUUCUUGUGAGAGUUCAAGUCUCUCCGUUCGUAAAUU